rnacentral:tRNA from 1 species
GCCUGGGUGGCUCAGUUGGUUAAGCGGCUGACUUCAGCUCAGGUCAUGAUCUCACGGUCCGUGAGUUCGAGCCCCACGUCAGGCU